ensembl:rRNA 5S_rRNA 5S ribosomal RNA
GCUUACGGCCACACCGCCUGGUUCACGCCAGAUCUCGUUUGAUCUCGGAAGAUAAGAUAGGUUGGGCCUGGUUAGUACUUGGAUGGGAGACCGCCUGGGAAUACCAGGUGCUGUAAGCU